GCCAGAAGUCAUCAGUACAGAAAGCAAUAGGAGCUUUUGCAAGUGACAGGAGGGAAGCACACAGUCUGUGUCCCACGGGCUCCAAUAUUUCAGUUACAGUAAACUGCAGCAGCAAUGGGUUUGUUCCAAGCUUGUGUUUUAUUUCUGCAAGUAAAACAUACCUGUGCAUCCAGUGCUGCACCAGCUGCCCAACCUAGUCUGUGCUUCUGGAUGAGAAGGAAUACAGAAUAUCGCUUGGUUCCCCCAUUCAUAUUUCACUUGCAUAUCAGGAAUAUAGAAACUCUUUGUUUGCCACUGUUCUUAGUUACUACUGCUGUUUGUUUGGUCACUGGACAGGAGAAGUCAGCCCCAAUACCAAGGGCCUUAAAGGGCUGGCAUGGAUGUAACCCAGCACAACACGGGGCAUGUACCACACACCAGUUUUGUUUUUAUUAAGGUGCAUCACUCUUGUGGUUAAUAGCCAGUUUUGUCUAAAACAGGAGAAGGACAGGGCUGGGGAUUGGAACUGACUACAGAGAGUUUAGGAGUGUAUAGUUAUAUACUUCUCCUCAAGGAUUACUUUAUUUGUACAUUUGGUUGUUGUACUAUGUAACAAUCCCUUGAAGGCUUGGCUAUCCAGAGGCUUCUAAGAACUGCCUCACAAUACAGAGGUAGCAUUGUGUUUCUACUAGGUUACUUUGUAACCUUGCUAAAGGAGCCAAAUGUAGCUCUUCAGUACUUAAAUUACAGUCCUACUCAAAGCAAGACAGUUCCAUAGCCUGUGGUUUAGUGACUUCUGAGAGGUUUUCUUCUCUGUUUGUAACCAAGAGUUUUCUUUUUUCUUCUACUGUUAGUCACUCUGAUCUCAGUUUAGGAUUUGAUGAUGAACCUACAUGCUCCUCACAGAGUUUCAUAGUCCAAGUGUUGCUUCCCGCCACACCUCACAGAUCUCAAAUGAUAUUCAGAGUUGCCUGAAAGGAAUUCUGAUAUGAUCAAUUGCACAGGUGUAAGUGAUAGCAUUGUGUGGAGCCAGUCCCUACAGAGGCUUGCUCUGCAGAUAGGCACUGAUUAACAAUUUUUUUUUUUUCUUCCUAUAAGAACAAGCCAGAAAAGAAUCCAGUUCAUGUUUCAGAGUUUGGCUGUUUUGGUGAGACAAAUGACACCUUGGAACCGCAAACAGAAGCAAGUUUUCAUUAAAGCAGUGAAAGGUUACUCCAUGUGUUCAAGAGCAUGAAGCAAUGGCUUGCCUUACCUGAACAUACUGAGGUUUUAACUGGAGGCACUGGAAAGGCAGCAAGGAACCUAAAAAGCCAAGAUCUGAGCAGGAAAGGAGAGGAACGCAAAAGGGAAACCCAGACAGCGCUGAAGAUGUUAACAAAGUAUGUUCCCAGCAAUUAAAAAUGAAAUGAAAAAGAUGAAAAAGCAAAGAAAUGUGAAACGCUUAUCUUUUACUUUCCUGGCAAACAGUCUAUGCUAGGGAACACCUGUGUGGAAUGAGCAAAAUGUAACUUUCUGCAGUUGUGUGCAGGCUGCUUGUCUGGCUGUGAGGCACCUCUUCCCCAAGCAUUAGCCUGGCUUCUUCAGAAGCCAGUGCCAUGGCCAGACAGACAUCUACAGGAUCAUCUAUGGGAUCA